rnacentral:rRNA from 1 species
AUUGAACGCUGGCGGCAUGCUUUACACAUGCAAGUCGAACGGUAACAGGUUAAGCUGGCGAGUGGCGAACGGGUGAGUAAUACAUCGGAACGUGUCCUUUCGUGGGGGAUAACCAGUCGAAAGACUGGCUAAUACCGCAUGAGAUCGUAAGAUGAAAGCGAGGGACCGCAAGGCCUCGCGCGAUUGGAGCGGCAGAUGUCGGAUUAGCUAGUUGGCGGGGUAAAAGCCCACCAAGGCGACGAUCCGUAGCUGGUUUGAGAGAACGACCAGCCACACUGGGACUGAGACACGGCCCAGGCUCCUACGGGAGGCAGCAGUGGGGAAUUUUGGACAAUGGGCGCAAGCCUGAUCCAGCCAUGCCGCGUGUGUGAAGAAGGCCUUCGGGUUGUAAAGCACUUUCGGCCGGAACGAAAUCGCCUUCGUUAAUAGCGGAGGUGGAUGACGGUACCGGAAGAAGAAGCACCGGCUAACUACGUGCCAGCAGCCGCAGUAAAAC